GCAGUCAUGGCCGAGUGGUUAAGGCGAUGGAUUAGAAAUCCAUUGGGGUCUCCCCGCAUAGGUUCGAAUCCUGUCGACUGCG
rnacentral:tRNA from 2 species